rnacentral:rRNA from 1 species
AACGAACGCUGGCGGCAGGCCUAACGCAUGCAAGUCGAGCGAAGCCUUCGGGCUUAGCGGCGGACGGGUGAGUAACGCGUGGGAACGUGCCCUUUGGUACGGAAUAGCCCCGGGAAACUGGGAGUAAUACCGUAUGUGGUCGAGAGACGAAAGAUUUAUCGCCAAAGGAUCGGCCCGCGUUGGAUUAGGUAGUUGGUGGGGUAAUGGCCUACCAAGCCGACGAUCCAUAGCUGGUUUGAGAGGAUGAUCAGCCACACUGGGACUGAGACACGGCCCAGACUCCUACGGGAGGCAGCAGUGGGGAAUCUUAGACAAUGGGGGAAACCCUGAUCUAGCCAUGCCGCGUGAUCGAUGAAGGCCUUAGGGUUGUAAAGAUCUUUCAGUGGGGAAGAUAAUGACUGUACCCACAGAAGAAGCCCCGGCUAACUCCGUGCCAGCCGCCGCGGUAAGAC